ensembl:miRNA
CUUGAACUCACUUUGUAGUCCAGGCUGGCUUCAAACUCACAGUGAUCCUCCUGCCUCAGCCUCCUGAGUGCUGGGAU